CAAGUUAUUCUUAAGUUGAAAUUUCGUUUACAUUGAAAUUUAUAUUGUGCAAUUCAAUAUAACUUGA
rnacentral:tRNA from 1 species